rnacentral:rRNA from 1 species
AAGACCUCAAAUCAGGUGGGACUACCCGCUGAACUUUAAGGCAUAUCAAUAAGCGGAGGAAAAGAAACUAACAAGGAUUCCCCUAGUAACGGCGAGUGAAAGAGGGAAAAGCCCAAAUUUGUAAUCUGGCUCUUUCAGAG